AAGCACUGUUGAGUUCUAAUGAUGCACAGAGAAACAUCUAGCUUAGCAAUAGAGGUUGCCAAAUGGUAUUCCCAGUGAUGUAUGAGAGACUGGAGGAAAGGGUCCGCACAGAAAUUGAUCAAUUUUUGGAGAGCUAGUUAGCAGGUAGGUCAUAGAACUUCCCAGUGGCAUCAUCAGUAAGCCCUUCACUGGACAAUCUAUUGUAUCUAAGAGAUCCCUAGAAUCUUCUGUGAUGUCACCAGUGUUGUGGUGACACCAACUGCCUUUGGGAUAUUCCUUCAGUUCCCUUUGGGUUCACAAACAGGCAUGUUUCGCCAGCCGCUCAGGCUAUUUCAGAAGGAAAGUGUUGAUCAAGGAGAGACCACACCAAGGCUGAAGGAAGAUGACCUCCUCUCAUCUUCCUUGGAAGGAAGGAAAUCAUUCUGGGGAAGGCUUGGUUUUGGUAGGAAGGCAUCAUCCCAAAAUGUCAUCAGUAAGCAAGAGGAGUGUUUAAAGGAACUGGAGGAACUCAAAUUUGAAAUCCAGAAGUGUCAAUUCGAGAGGGAUGAAUUUUAUCAAAUCCUGGACCUUUAUAUCUAUGAUGAUUGGGACCACAGGUAGUCAUUAUGGCCAGUAACCUGUUCACUGUCUUGUGCUUUCUCUCUGCUAACCCAAGAUUUCCUCUUAGCACAAGAGAGGUUUACCUCUCAUCCUGGAUUUUAAGGAGAUUUGGAAGGCAUUUGCUUGUGAGACAAGCUAGGUCCUGUGUGUUUAGGGUCAACCUCUUUUGUACUUGACCCUGAGCUCCUUGGAUUAGCAUUGGUUCUGUCAACAGCUAGAAGGACCUGGUCACACUUGCUGCCUCUAAGUGAGGGGAUGAAAUGCCUGCACGUCAUCCCUCUUUUCCUCUAAUUUUUUUCAUUAUACACUGAUUCUAUGGCACCUCCAUGCAUGUAGUUGGGAUUUUGCUUGUGUUUGUAUAUUGAUUGGUAUGUAAGUAUGUGAAAGUGUUUGUGGGUAUUAAGCUCUCGGUCAGGGAGUCUGGGGAUUUUCAUGGGAUCUUAGGAUAUGUCUGAUGGACAGUUUGCAGGUCAUGAUAGUGGGGAUGCCCACAUUGAUCAACUGAGCACUUUGCAUCUUCUGUUUACUUAGGUGGUAGAUAGGACCCUCCUGAGGGAAGGAGGGGUUACAAAUCCUCUACCCUGUCAAAGUAGUUAUUCCCUCUGGGAAUUCAUGGAACAAUAGGAAACAAGGUUUGAGAAUCCCUGUUUUCAAAACAAAAGAAAUAUCAUCACAACUAUCUGUUAGACCCAAGCCACUGCAGUACAGUUGGUCUUGGGGGAACCAUAUCUCCACAGUCUUAGAAAAUGUCCAUAUUUCAAAAUAACUCUUUGCUGAUUUGCGUAGAAAUAUUUCCUUGAAAGAAUUGUUGUUGGAGUCUCACUGUUGUGUUUUUGCUCUGGUCUUUGUGUUUGCCACAUUCUUCCCUCCCCCCACAUUUCUUAAAUUUCAAUUUUUUAUUGGGUUUUUUUAAUUUACAAUUCACUUAAUUCUGAAAUCCUGAGUUCAGAUGGUUAAUUUUUCUUGGGCCAUGCCCCACAACAGGCUGGAUGUCGAAUUGCCAAUACUUCAAUCCGAACAUGAGAUGAGAAUGAUGGCUAUGCAAAUGAUGACCAGUUCAAUAAGUGAGGCCAUGGAGAGGUACAAGGAGCUCAUACAAGUGAACAGUUCCUACCGCAUCAGGAACUCCCAGCUUCUGCGUGAGCAAACUCAAUUGAAGAACAAUAUACAGAUUUUGCUGAAUGAGAAGAGAGAACUGCUGGUGGAGCAGACUGAACAGCCAGCAUCCUCUGUGGAGGCAAAGAGGCUCUGUGAAGAGGCCGGAAUGAACAUCUGUGUCCCCAGUGCAAAGGAACAGCAGGUCUGAAAUUCUCCAGGAGAAACUCGAACAAGACACAAACCAGGGCAAGAUCUCCCUUGGAGAGAAGAACUACAGGAGGAGAACUAAGUGUGCACAGCAAAUACACCACUAUUGCAUCUCAUCUGUAAUGUCCAUAGCAAUUGUGGACUGCAUUUUCCUCCUUUAGUUUUAUUUCUUUGGAUUGAAUAGGCUGUACUUUCACCUCCCCACCCUCCAGCAAGUGUAAACUUUUGGAGGGACUCAGAGAAGUGCUGAUGCACAUCAAUCAAGAGGUGCUGGUCAUCCAGAAAGACUGUGCACGUGUAAAUGUGUAUUGUCCUGGUGGGUCAUCCAGAAGAGUUUCAUGGAGAUCAGUUCACAACAUUGGAAAGACUUUGAGAUAAAGUCUGUAAUAUCAUUUCUACUCAGUAUUGGAUGGCUUUGUCCUUAAUACCCCCACUCCAACAAAACAGACCUACUUCCACUCCUCUUGGAAAGAUUAUUACCAUCAGUAACUGCUGGUCUACUAUGUCUCCAAGGAAAGACACAGGCUAUAAAUCUAUUCUGCAGAAGGAGCAGCAAAAAAUGCUUAGCGCAGCUCCUCUAUUUAAAGUGUGGCUGAGUUUUGAUUAUUUUGGUUAUUUGGUUUUCCUCCUAUUCAUUUGAAGUUUUGUUAUUUAUGUGUUGUUGUUUUGUUCAUUUGCUUUUCUAUUUUGAUAAGGAUAUAGACUGUAUAUAUUGACAACCUGCAUCUGGUUACUAUCCAGUAAAUUGGAUGUAUCCUGGUGAAAAAAAGAGUAAUCUCAAACUCUUCACUCUUAAGAACCUUCUUUAUUGAUCAUUAGUGUCAACAUCUGAAGUCCCACAGCUAUCAGGGAGGGAUGGAUCUCUGCAUUCUCAUGGGGACUGGGCAUCAAAAUCACUUCCCAGUCAGACUGAGAUUCAAAGGCAAUUAUACAGUCACUGUUCACUGUGUUCCAAACUCUGUGAAUUUCAACUUCAUUAUUGCAUAUAUUACCCACUGUAUAUGCUUACUGUCAAAUAUAUAGUUACCUCUAAAUUAUACUCUGUGGAUGAGAGUGUUGAACAAAUUAAUGGGAUAAACAUUAAUUUCUCUGUAAUAUCUCCCAGGACAUAUAAACAUGGCAUAAGGGAGUUUAAACCAAUCAGGAAUCCUGCACCCAAAUCCCGUGGUGGAGAGUGCUGAACACCCAGGAAUGCAGAUACUCCUGAUGCCACAGGACAGAAAGCCACUUCUGCCCAACUUUGCCCACAUCUCUUGCCCAAUAUUAAUCUGCAUGAUGCCUCUGGAAACAGGAAUAUAGGAGCAGUCAGUGGCAGGAACCUGCUUGGUUCAGCCUGGGUCCAGAACCAACCCAGGCCCUGAGCAUAUUUGAAGAAAACCAGAGGCAUACAAUUCUGUUUCCUGAUUGUGGCUUUUUUUAAUUUGAAGUUCUAAACACCAUUUUGUUGUUGUUGAAUUUUAAUUGGAUAUUUUUCAUUUUGAAUUCAAAUGUUAUUCCUUCCUUGUUUUCCAGAAAUAAGUCUGAAUACCAUCGCCCUCCCCCUCUUCUAUAAAGGUGUUCCCUUCACCAUCCAUCCACUUUCCCAGCCUAGGCAGGACCAAGGGCUGCUCAUUCCAUUUGUGCCCAAGAGGACCAUCCUCUGAUACACAUGCAGGUGGAGCCAUGGCACAGUCCCUGUAUAGUGAUUGGGUAGUGGUUUAGUCUCUGGGAACUUUGCUUGGCAGUCAUGGUUGUUCUUAUGAGGUUGUUAGUCCCUUCAGCUCUUCCAAUCUUUCUGUAAUUCCUCCAACUGAGGUCCAGUUCUCAGUUCAAUGGUUUGCUGCUAGCAUUCUCCACUGUAUUUGACAUGCUCUGGCUGUGCCUCUCAGGAGAAAUCUAUAUCCAGUUCCUGUCAGCCUGCACCUCUUAGCUUCAUCCACCUUAUCUAGUUUGAAGGCUGUAUGUGUAUAGGUCACUCAUGGGGUAGACUCUGAAUGGCCAUUCCUCCAGGCUCUGUUGUAAACUUUGUCUCCCUAUCCCUUCAAUAAGGAUUCUUCUUCUCUUUUAAAGGAAGAAGUGAAGCAUCUACAUUUUGGUCAUCCUUCCUGAAUUUGAUUUGGUCUGUGAAUCUUGGGGAAUUCCAGCAUUUGGGCUAAUAUCCACUUAUCAAUGAGUGCAUACCAUGUGUGUGUUUCUGUGAUUGGGUUAACUCACUCAGGAUGAUAUGUUUUAGUUCAUUCUAUUUGCCUAUGAAAUUCAUGAAGUCAUUGUUUUUGAUAUCGCUGUAGUACUCCAUUGUGUAGAUGUACCACAAUUUCUGUUUCCAUUCCUCUGUUGAAGGGCAUCUGGGAUCUUUUCAUUUUCUGACUAUUAUAAAUAAGGCUGCUAUGAACAUGGUGGAGCAUGUGCCCUCUUGUAUGUUGGAGUAUCUUGUGGGAAUAUGUGCAAGACAGGUAUAGCUGGGUCGUCAGCUAGUGAAAUGUCUAAUUUUCUGAGGAACCUCCAGACUGAUAUCCAGAAUGGUUGUACCAGUCUGCAAUCUCACCAACAAUGGAGGAGUGUUCCUCUUUCUCAUAUCCAUGCAAGCAUCUUCUGUUGCCUGAGUAUUUGAUCUUAGGCAUUCAGACUGGUGUGAGGUGGAAUCUCAGGGUUGUUUUGAUUUGCAUUUCCCUUAUAACUAACGAUGUUGAACAUUUCUUUUGGUGCAUCUCAGCCACUCCAUAUUCCUCAGCUGUGAAUUCUUUGUUUAGCUCUGAACUGCAAUUUUUAUUAGGGUUAUUAGUCUCCCUACAGUCCAACUUCAUGAGUUCUUUGUAUAUUUUGGAUAUUAGCCCUCUAUCAGUUGUAGGAUUAGUAAAGGUCUUUUCCCAAUCUGUUUGUUGCUGUUUAGUCUUAACCACAUGUCCUUGGCCUUACAGAAGCUUUGUACCUUUAUGAGGUCCCAUCUGUCUACUCUUGAUCGUAGAGCAUAAGCCAUUCAUGUUUUGUUCAGGAAAUUUUUUCCAGUGCCCUUGUGUUCAAGAUUCUUCCCCACUUUUGCUUCUCUUCGUUUGAGUGUAUCUGGUUUGAUGUAGAGGUCCUUGAUCCACCUGGACUUAAGCUUUGUCCAGGGCAAUAAGCAGGGUAUGAUUUGGACUAAUCCAUAUGCUGACCUCCAGUGGAACUGGCACCAUUUGCUGAAAAAGUAUAUUUUUUCCACUGGAUGGUUUUGUCUCCUUUGUCAAAAAUCAAGUGAUCAUAGAUAGGUGUGUGGGUUCAUUUCUGUGUCUGCAAUUGUAUUCCACUGGUAUAUCUUCCUGUCUCUGUACCAAUACCAUACAGUUUUUAUCACCAAUGCUCUGUAAUACUGCUUGAGUUCAGGGAUGGUGAUUCCCAGGGAAGUCCUUUAUUGUUGGGGAUAGUUUUAGGGAUCCUGUGUUCUUUUGUUAUUCCAAGUGAAUUUGCAAAUUGUUCUGUCUAACCCUAUGAAGAAUUGGAUUGGAAUUUUGAUGGGGAUUGCAUUGAAUCUGUAGGUCACUUUGGGUAAAAUGGCCAUUUUUCUAUCUUCAUCCUGACAAGCCAUGAGCAUGGAAGAUCUUUCCAUUUUCUGAGAUCUUCUUCAAUUUCUUUCUUCAGAUCAUGAAGUUCUUAUCACACAGAUCUUUCACUUGUUUGAUAAAAGUCACACUGUGGUAUUUUUAUAUUAUUUGGGACUGUUAUGAAAGGUGUCAUUUCCCUAAUUUCUUUCUCAGCUUGUUUAUCUUUUGUGUAGAGGAAGGCUACUGAUUUGUUUGAGUUAAUAUUAUACCCAGGCACUUGCUGAAGUUGUUUAUCAGGCUUAGGAGUUCUCUGGUGUAACUUUUGGGGUGAAUCAAGUGUACUCUUCUGUCGUCCGCAAUAGUGAUAUUUUGACAUCUUCCUUUCCAAUCUGUAUCCCUUUGACCUCCUCUUGUUGUCUGCUUGCUCUGGCUAAUGCUGGGGACAACAUACAAUGACAGGGACUGCAGGCAGUAGGCCGGGAUGGAGACAUCUCAGAAGCCUGCAGCAGCUCCUUGUAAAGUAGGGUGGCUUCUUGGAACCCUGAGAAGCAGGAGACACAUCUCUCAAUGAACCCACCAUCUGAAAUAAGAGGCUGCCUGCCGCAGUCCGGGAUGGAGACAUCUCAGUAGCCCACAGUAGCUCUUUUUAAAAACUGGUUGUUUCCAUUUCUCCAAACCUUAUCCCUGGACAAGGGCUGUAUAGAUUUCAUUUGUGUGUGACUGCCUAUCAGGUGGCCUUGGUGUGCACAAUUAUUCUAUUAUGUCUGACUUUCCUACGUCUUUCUACUUCUGCUCUGGUGAAUUCUGUGAAACUAGAUGUUCCUUGAGGUUAUGAUUCUUAGACAAUUGGAAAUUGAUGCAUAGGGGCACAGCACAGCAUAUCCCUAGCGGCCCAGGUGCAUAUUGUGUAUUCUCAUCUUGGAAAAUAUGUAAUAACUGCACAAUUGAAGUUCCAGAUUAAGGUUUGACUUGCAAAGACAGCUUGAAGAAAAUAAGAGAAAAUGAAUUAGAGCCAACAAUCGGGCGCUAGGAAAGGAAAAGGUUAUUGAAGUUAGGAAAUAAGUCUUAUAUAAUAUUACAGACUAGUUAAGGAAAUAUAGAAUAUAUAAAAUUAUAUACUAGUAAACUAAGUCAAACUACUGGAACUCUUAUGAGAGUCAUUGUGUGCAAGGAACAGAAAGCUAGUGGAAUUACUGUGCUAAGGGUUACCUUGAUUCUUUCUGGCCACUGCCUGGCAGUUUUCCCCAUGUCAUUUAUCAUUAGAGAGUCUCAGGAAAAUGCAAUUAGCUGACCUCGGAGCUUUGGACUCUGAAGUAUAAAAGUAAAGAAUUAAAGUUUAAAUAAUGAUAAGUUUACAAUUAUUAUUAUAUUGGCCACAGGCCUGGGUAUAGGGGAAGCCUGAAACUUUGGGGAACAGUUGCAAUUCUUAGAUCUUGGUGGGAUGUAGUCAUUCUUUGCAUCUGAUUUGGCAAUGAUUAAAAAAUGUCAUUUUUCUA